rnacentral:snRNA from 1 species
GGAUAUGAGGGCAAUCUGACUAUGACAUCUGUCACUUCAUUGAUCGUCAAGUUUGUUUUGGCUAAUUCGGCUGGCUAGGAGGGUGUUUCUUUUCUCCCUCAUGACUCCAUGUGCUUCCCUUCAGAAGCUGUGCACUUGGUCAAAGAGGAUGACCAUCCCUGCUAGAGGAAAAUCAUCCUUUAGUCAAGGGUAUACAAGUAGCUGGUCUCCCCAUUAGAAUCUCCAAACAAGCUCUCAAAGUUCAUUUGUAGGAGAAAAUCGGGUAGUCAGGUUCAAGACUCUAAACACAUCCAAAUGAGGCACUGCAUAUGGUGGUCUGCCUUUCU